AUCCAGCACGUGCUUGCCAAAAGCCGUAUAAAGACAGAAAACAAGAAGACUGGAACAUAUUGUGUGAUAGAUGAGAAUCUCCUGCAUGGAAGGAAAAAUCUGCCAGAAAUAAGAUGGCACUUAGUAAAUUGAGGUUCAAUCAUCGAGGUGGACCAAAACCAUUUCAGUGCAUCGAGAAGAUUCGGAAGAAAUGAUUACCUUAAAGGCGUAUCAUGCUUCUCAAGGAGACGAAAAAACAGAAGAAGAAAUCAUGGAGACGGUCCUUGGGAGAAGAUCAAAUUAUAUAAUAGGAAUGAGAUAUGGACCGAAACCCACCAGAAACAAAGGAUCAUCAUCAAAAUACUCUGAUGAAUAUGUGGAGUCAUUAGAGGCUCGUCUUCAGAAGCAUGAGGAAGAAUUGGCAACUCAACGAAAAGCGAACGAAGACCAACAAAUUGCCACCCAAGAACAAAUACAAAA